UCAUUCGCAUAGACCUAGGGUUUCUCCUGUCUCCUUCCACAUACGCCUCUCUCUCUCUCUCUCUUCCCAUCGCCUCCUCAAACCCUAGAUUCUUUACUCCUCUCUUUCUCCGCUCUUUAGAACUCUGCAUAGAUCUUUCUUUAGAAUCAUCGCCACUCUCCUUCGCUCCAAUCUCCAACACUCUCCUUCCAGAUCUCCAUCGGCUACAAAUCCUCGAUGACGUUGAAGAUCAUUCAUCCUUUUCUUUUUGAUUAUGUCACAUCUUGAAAGGUCCACCACCCUCCCUUCAACCCAGGUAUAUCACUGAUUAUUACCUAUAUCUUCAAUGUCUUCGAUCGUCUACAAAAAGAAUCUGUUGGUAUAUAUUUCGCCAAUGGUUCAGUUCAUGUUGUCUGAGAACACCAACGGGAAAUUGUCAGACCAGGAGGCGAAAUCGUCAGCCGGAAAAGAGAUCCCGUUGUUCCUCAAUGAGACCAGCGAGUAAAAAUUUGUAGUCAUCUUCUUCUCCAAUGGCUAAGCAGUUAUAUUGGAAGAUUCUGACUUUAAAGAAACGGAUAAUCGGGUGCAAGUUUACAACCAGAGCCACUGUUCUGGACAACAGACGGAGCACGGAUAACAGGGGAACCACCAAAGAGUGGUACCGAGGUGGUAUACAAGGUUACUUUGAGUCUUUUGAGGAAUUUCGGCAUGGCCUUUGGGAGGGUAUGGUCAACUUCAUUAACGGAAAAACUUGCAGGGUAUCAUUUCAUUUGUCCGCGCUCUACCUGAAAAUGGAUGUCAUCCGGUUCUGUCUUCAUCGAUUCAACAAUGUUAAAUAUCAUAGGUAUGCUCAUUGUUCUAAUUUUGUGUGGGUUCGUAUGAUUUCAACUUUUGCUUGAUUGAGAUUAUUUUUCUUUGAUUCGAGUGUUUUGGGAGAUUGAUCGUUUCUAUGAUUUAAGAGGGUCAUCUACUUCACGAAUAUUUGAAGGCAUGCUGACGCACAACAAUAGCACCGACAUUUUUUUCCAUUCAAAACAGAAUACGGCAUAUAUUUGGCAUACUCGUGCAUAUUUGCUUGCUGACUCAUCAUGUAUGAAAGGGAUAAACUAAUGAUGCAUAACAAUAGCACCAUUAAACCUCUUUUCAUUCAAAAUAGUUUAUCUUGCCGAAUUUUAGGAGGACAUAUGAAUACUAAAGCCAUUGGAGAAAAUGGGUCUUUGGUUUUGAUAAAACAAGUUAGCAAGGCACUCAAGUUGUGAGUUAAUUUUUAUACUACAUACUUUAUUGUGCCUAGGAGCAUGCAAUUCAGAUUCUAAAUGGGCCACGUUUGCGUUAUCCCAAAAACGACAUGAACUUGAGAAUCGUGUCAUAAGCGUGAACCCGAUCAGGACAAGUGUAUUCAUGGGUUGACACGUAUGCGGCCUGUUUAACCGGUAAUCUAUACAUAUUAAAACAUUUAAAUUCUAUUUACAUACUUUCUUAAUUUUUUGAAGCAAUUAUGUUUAAACUAUGCCAUAUCAUUUUUAAUAGAACACAUCUUAUGAAACUAAAAAACAAAUACAUGGGUUAAACAGGUCGACUCACAAACUUACUUUCUUGACACGGACACCACCUGUUUAGCUAAAGAUGUAUAGUUUUGAGUAUUGGUGACAAUACAUACGUGAGGUUGGGUUUAAAUGAAGUUUUUAAUGGCAUAAUCCAGUCUUCUUAAUUAGGUACAAACAUUUGUUCCUUUGAUUAGUUGUGAGAUUGCUUCCAAAUUUUAUGCUUAUUCUCUGUUUGGUGAACUUAAAUGUUUUGUAAAACUGUUAACCAGGGUUUUUUCUAUAUAAUCAAAGAAUUUGAAGCAACUUAUGGUGUUUGUGCUUUUAUUUGAUAUGUUGUGUAAGCUUUAUUGAUCAUGUUAUUGCUAAUUAAAGAUGCUGAAUGGAAGUAUAUGUUUAAAUAGGAUUACAAAGCAUGAUAUCUUGGUUUAUUUUAUAUCAUUAUUGUUAUUAUUUUGUCUGCAUGCUAUUUGAUAUCAACAUUUGGUGAUCUGCAAAAAAAAUGUGGAAUUCUCAGUUUCACAAGUUCAACGAAUUAGCUUGGGGAUCAAUUUGCAUUGAGAUGAAAUGAUGAGCCAUCAUAAUCCCAAUUGGCUUUUAAAAGUUGGAGAUGGACUGCUCCGUGCACAAGGAUACAAUUUUAAUUUUACAUACCAACUAGAACAUGGAAGCAAUGGAUAUUUGCCCAGCUUUGAUCACGUUCCUUUAAAAUUCUUAGUCAUGCUUUUGUAAUGAUAUUUAGUUAUUUACAUGUUUUAUAUUUCCUUUAUACAGAUAAAUAAAUAUGAUGUAUAAAGAAAUUUUAAAGACAUGUGAUUUUUUCGUAUUUUAAUCUUUAACUUCAUAUUUCCGAAAUAA